rnacentral:rRNA from 1 species
GUGUCAGCAGCCGCGGUAAUACGUAGGGGGCGAGCGUUGUCCGGAGUUACUGGGCGUAAAGGGCAUGCAGGCGGUCUGGCGCGUUUUGUGUGACAGCGGGGGGCUCAACUCCCCGAGCAUGCGAAAGACGGUUGGACUUGAGGGCUCGAGAGGGACACGGAAUUCCGGGUGGAGUGGUGAAAUGCGUAGAGAUCCGGAGGAACACCGAAGGCGAAGGCAGUGUCCUGGCGAGUGACUGACGCUGAGGUGCGAAAGCCAGGGGAGCGAACGGGAUUAGAUACCCCAGUAGUCC